UGGGGAGUAUUGGACAAUGGGGGAGGACCCUGAUCCAGCGACGCCGCGUGCAGGAAGAAGGUCUUCGGAUUGUAAACUGUUGUCGCAAGGGAAGAAGACAGUGACGGUACCUUGUGAGAAAGUCACGGCUAACUACGUGCCAGCAGCCGCGGUAAUACGUAGGUUGCAAGCGUUGUCCGGAUUUACUGGGUGUAAAGGGCGUGUAGGCGGAGAAGCAAGUUGGGAGUGAAAUCCAUGGGCUCAACCCAUGAACUGCUCUCAAAACUGUUUCCCUUGAGUAUCGGAGAGGCAAGCGGAAUUCCUAGUGUAGCGGUGAAAUGCGUAGAUAUAAGGAAGAACACCAGUGGCGAAGGCGGUCUACUGGACAGUAACUGACGCUGAGGCGCGAAAGCGUGGGGAGCGAACAGGAUUAGAUACC
rnacentral:rRNA from 1 species